CCCUUCCAACCUCACCUCCCCUGCCCUACCUGUGCUCUCUCCCCUCCCCCAGACCACGUGGACGCCGAGGCUGGUGGCGGACACGGGUCUCCCCUCCUUUUACCCUUAUAAUAAAUUGCUUAUACUUGAACAGCUGACCCUGGAGAAGUCUCUCACCGCGAGCGAGCAUUUUUUUACAUCCCCAAUAAGUACACAAGCAUUAGCUGACUUCAUCUGAGUGUGGUGCUGAUCAUUUGCCCUAUUGCACCACUCAUUGAGAUCUUCCCCAGUUAUCCCCUUAGUAAAUCAGGGACCUCAAGCUGUGUUAAAAGAGGAAGAAAAGAACAGGGUGUGUGCUUUCCCUUUAUAAAUCUCACACUCCUGUAGCGAGUGCAAAGCUGCAGGAAGCAGGGGCUGUGCUCACACACCCACUCCCCCGAAUGUGCACUGUCAAAGACCACAACAGGAGGUUUUGGCUUCCUUGCACGAUGGCCACAGAGCUGUGAUCAAUCCCUGUUCCUCUUGACACUGUUGCAGGACACUGCUGUUUGACUUGAGUACAUGUGAACUUACUGCAGACCUGGCACUCUUGCAUGGCCUUCUUCCCAAAGUCCUCAUGCCGCAAGGGAAGCAAUCCUGGCUGUAAACACGGAGCUGCACCCUUUAGCUGCCCCUAACACUGGCACAGUUAUGCAAUGACCAGAAGUAACAGAAUGCACGUGUUCCUAAAUUACAAGGUAUGGCGGUGUAUCCGGGAGGUGAGAACUGAGGAAACAGUACCAGGGCUAGGAGGGUACCAGGGCGAGGAGCCCUUGGCUCUACAGCAGCACCAGAGCAAGCUGAAAUUCACAGGAGGCAGUGGCCAGGCAGCAACAUUUACCAUGCACUAUUGGCUACAAUACACCACGUCUACAAUAUACAUGUGGUUUUUUGGUGUUGUUGUUGUUCUGGUCAGAGUUUUGUUGUUUUUUUUUUUUUUUUUCCUUUUAAACAUAGCACAAGUUCAAUUCAGAGUAUCACAGUUUUUUGUCUGAAGUGUUUGCAUUAUGCAACAUGAGCAUCAGGUUAAGGAGAAAACCAAAAAGUCCUGCAGGUACUUUGAUUUUUUUUCUGAGCCCCUUCUUAAAAGACUUAAGUUUUCAAAUGAGUAGAGGCCUUCCCUCCACCCAGAGAGCAAGGCUGACAUCCUGGGUUAUAGUCCUAGUCCUGGUAAGGGCUCCUUAACUGAGAAAUGUGGGUUGCAAGACUUGGCCUUUAGUAAGAAACAAUAAUAUUACAGGAAAACUUACUGUAUGCUUUUGAACAUCAACACUUAAUUACCCUUCUAUUUUCUAAUACAGACAUGAUGUCUGGAGUUGAACAAACACAUUCCUGAAAGGUCAGAACAUUUAAACUGUGUGUACCUAGUUUAGGAUGACAAACCUGUUGCUGCUUUUUAGCUAUGACAUUUCAGUUUACCCACAAGAAUUGCACUACUUCCCCUAAAAGUUUUCAAGCUAGAGAACAUACUCUUCUACCAGUGUCUAGGGCACUGGGAAGGCAAAAAUCUUUUUCUACAUAAAUUUAUCACAGCUGCCACUGAAUCCUGUGACUUACGGAGAUUUCUGCCUUUCCGCCAAAAAGGGCUUGAGCCAGCAGCAUGCACAGGGAUACCCUGUCCACUUUGAGGAGAGGGGCAGGUUCAGCUGGAUGGCAGCCAAUGAAGAGCUGCUGCCCAGGCCAGCACACACAACCAUUCACCAAACUUUGCAAACCUGAAUGAACAACUAUGAAUUCUCCCCGACCACACAGCUGGAGGACAAGUAGCUCUUCAUUUUUUUCUGAAAGAAUGGGAGGAACUUCUAUUUCAGCUAUCAUACAUGGGUUAAUGAAGAUGUAACUGCUGCAACCAUCAGAAAACAACCAUCCAGAUGGCACCAUGGAGUGUUCCCUGGAAGCUGCAAGGACCUUGCAAACUGGGAACAAAAGUUUGGAUUUCCUGAAAGUGUUCUCAUCUGUUACUAAACACAGUGUUGCGUCCACCUUCAAGUUUCAGGGCACUCAAGGAAUUGAAGGGGCACUAGUUUAACCCUAAUCCAGAGAGGGGAGGUUCACUUAAUUUCAACAGAGCUUCUUGAGAUGACUUCAUCACUUCAGACCAUAUUUCUUCCCUGGAGCUCAGAGAUCCUGAAGCCAAGGCCACACUGAGCUAGUUCUGGGACUAAUUAGCAUGGGUGGGCACUGUGUUAAUGCAACCCACCUGGCUGGGACAUGCUAGGACCUGAGCAGGACAUUGCAUGUACAGUGCCCAUGUAGUCUCAGCAAUCUUAAGCAGAAUUGUACUGAGAGACAGCCCCCAUAAGAACAUCUUAGGCACAGUAAGAUGACUGUCCUCUAUAAGAAAUGACAGCCCCUCAGGUGAAAGUAGCUGAACACCAGCUGAGAAGCACUGACUGACUGCAAACACAAUGGAAAUAGAAUAGGUGAGCCACUACAAAGUGGCUGAAGAUAACCAUUUUAUUUCACUCUCAGGUACUGCUCUGUAGAAGGAAAUUAAACUCCUUAAAUGGACUAACUUGCAUACUUCCAAGUGCUUACCACGGGUACAACCUCUCACCUCCAUCUGUACCCAUUCAAAGCUCUGCCAGGAUCUUGAAAGCAUUUCCUGCAUACAUCAUGACCAUCAAUAUGCAUUUCACCAGUCUCCCAUUCCCAACUUCCUAUAAGAGGGCCUACUUCUCUUCUGAAGCAAAUGUUCAGCAGUGUCUCUCCUAGUGCCCACCAGCACCACAGUGCAUACCCAGCCCUGUGCGCCUCAUCCCACCCCUGUUGGGGAAGAGAUCUUCAGUUCUUCAAAACUAUCUGACGUCCUACUGAACUUGAUUGAAGAGACUGCAGCGAAAUUGUACCUGGUUUCCUGUGCUUCAGUCUACAUUUACUAAAUGUGAUGUAGGAAAUGGGCAGGAAACGCCAACCUUAUGUAGGGCAGCAAUUCUUCCUCUUCCCUCCAUGAUACGUUUGAGUAGUACACCAAGACCUGACCUUGCACGUUUUAGUGUAGCCUUUCUUACACAAAUAUUUGAGUCAGAUCCGGAGGCAAAAACAAACAGAAAGCCAAACACAUUGCCAAACACAUUAUUUUUUUUUAAUGAAAAAGGCUGACACACUGUUUUAUACCUAUUUGUACUCAAAUCUGAAAUGUACUGAACAUUUUUAACUGCAGGAAUUUGUUAAGAUCAACAAAAAUUUAAAAAACUCAACAUAUUUUUUAUUCUGAUGCUGGUGUAAAAACUGUUGAAGAACUCGUAUUAUUUGGGCACCAUACAGACAUGAGAGGUGCUGAUACACAAAAAAGGUGUACUAUUUGUUAGGAGGUUUCAACUGUUGUAUUUUUCCUUUUUACAGUCAUCUUCACUUUGCUUCUAUUUCAAAAUCUAAUCAGAAAACCAACACAGAAUUAGUCCUUCACCAUGUUUCUUUGCACAAUUGUUUGGACAAUGUAUUUAAAAUAGCACUCUUCUACCCUGGCAGCAUUUUAUAUUUACUUUAUCCAGGUGUAAAUGACAGCCUAAAGAAUAAGGAAUUGUAAUCAGAUACAGCAUAUCUUUCCCUAAUAAAAUUACCUCCCUUUUCAUCUUGAGCACCUAAAGCUGAAAUACAAUUUCCUUCUUUUGUUUCCCCAUUCAUUAUAUAUGAACAGGGACAAAUAAAUGUCAAGUGUAUCUUUAAAGGAAAAAUGCACCACUAUUUAUCAGUCCCCCAAUGCAAAAAAAAAAUAAUAAAAAAAAAUUUAUUCUUCUUGAAGUACUUUUUCUUAAUAUACAAUAAGACACCAAAAAUAACACAUGGGAGAAACGGGGUGGCAUUGGAGCAGACUGUUGAUUUAUGGAAGUUUCUGCUCCAGCUGAGCCCUGUGUUGCCUUACACAGUGUUUCCUGGUUUAUGUGAGACAAAUACGCUCUUUAAGAAGACAGAGAGUAAAUCACAAGUGUCAACAUGAGCAACUCCCUGAAAAUAAACUUUGCUCAUUUACAAUACAGAGUUUCUAGUGUGGCACAUGGAACUGCACUGCGGGGAAAGAGCUUGCCAUGCUCCUGAGAGCAAGCUGGGCCUAUGGCAAAGCACAGGGCCCCACUCCUCAACUCUGUCAAGAAAACGGGACUCCUGGGAAGAAUGGCAUGUUGGCCAGAAGCUGUCACCAGGUUUCCUCACCAAGCACUUGUGCAAGAUGAGAUUCUGCUUGUCACUAAGUGCCCCCACUCCCAGGGCUCAGGGUGCCUUUUGGGAUGGGGCUGGGAUACGAGGGCACUUUGAGCAGCACUUGCACAGCAGCUCUGAAAACUGUGGGCUCUUCUGAACUGCCCAUUUCAUGAUGCCAAAAUGGAGCUGUUAUGGGAUUCCUAGAUGCCUUUCACAUUGCCAUGGUGACCCAGAUUAGUUUUGAGUUUUCUGAAAGAGGCCAAACUUCUUUUUGCAGAAGCUCAUGGAUGCAAUGGGAAGGACAGAAGGAAAAUUAACCUCAAGUACAUUUCCACUAUUUUCUAAUGAUCUGUACCUAACUCUAAGAGAAUCCAAGAACCAGAAGAAAUUUCUAUUACCCCUACAUAUAUAUCUCCAUAUAAGAAAACAGUGGCAACCUUCACCAGCACAUAGUAAGCUCCUGGCUUCUGAAGCACAUGAUUGUCAAACACCUAAAUACUUUUAAUAGAAACCUGGUCCAUUAACAAGCUGAACCAUCAAGCAGUCACACAAGAAAAGCAAACAACCCCAGAAAGAGCUGAUGUCUUUCCAUGCUGAACAGAAACCUAUUUACAGUAAGCAAAAUAAUGCAGCAUCUAAUAAUGUUUUUCCUCCCUCUCCAAUGCAUCUGCACAUAACUUUCCCUUUGUUCCUCAUGCAAAUUCAAAGAAGCAAACCUUGCCCUUGUCUGU